rnacentral:rRNA from 1 species
AAUCAACGCUGGCGGCGUGCCUAACACAUGCAAGUCGAACGCGAAAAGGGCUUCGGCUCUUAGUAGAGUGGCAAACGGGUGAGUAACACGUGGGUGACCUACCUUCGAAUGGGGGAUAACGUCCCGAAAGGGACGCUAAUACCGCAUAACAUCCUGCCUUUGAACAGGUGGAGAUCAAAGCCGGGGAUCGCAAGACCUGGCGUUUGAAGAGGGGCCCGCGUCUGAUUAGCUAGUUGGGAGGUACGGCUCACCAAGGCGACGAUCAGUA